rnacentral:rRNA from 1 species
UAACCCGUGGACCACCUGCCCAUCAGAAGGGGAUAACACUUGGAAACAGGUGCUAAUACCGUAUAACAAUCGAAACCGCAUGGUUUUGAUUUGAAAGGCGCUUUCGGGUGUCGCUGAUGGAUGGACCCGCGGUGCAUUAGCUAGUUGGUGAGGUAACGGCUCACCAAGGCCACGAUGCAUAGCCGACCUGAGAGGGUGAUCGGCCACAUUGGGACUGAGACACGGCCCAAACUCCUACGGGAGGCAGCAGUAGGGAAUCUUCGGCAAUGGACGAAAGUCUGACCGAGCAACGCCGCGUGAGUGAAGAAGGUUUUCGGAUCGUAAAACUCUGUUGUUAGAGAAGAACAAGGAUGAGAGUAACUGUUCAUCCCUUGACGGUAUCUAACCAGAAAGCCACGGCUAACUACGUGCCAGCAGCCGCGGUAAUACGUAGGUGGCAAGCGUUGUCCGGAUUUAUUGGGCGUAAAGCGAGCGCAGGCGGUUUCUUAAGUCUGAUGUGAAAGCCCCCGGCUCAACCGGGGAGGGUCAUUGGAAACUGGGAGACUUGAGUGCAGAAGAGGAGAGUGGAAUUCCAUGUGUAGCGGUGAAAUGCGUAGAUAUAUGGAGGAACACCAGUGGCGAAGGCGGCUCUCUGGUCUGUAACUGACGCUGAGGCUCGAAAGCGUGGGGAGCAAACAGGAUUAGAUACCCUGGUAGUCCACGCCGUAAACGAUGAGUGCUAAGUGUUGGAGGGUUUCCGCCCUUCAGUGCUGCAGCUAACGCAUUAAGCACUCCGCCUGGGGAGUACGACCGCAAGGUUGAAACUCAAAGGAAUUGACGGGGGCCCGCACAAGCGGUGGAGCAUGUGGUUUAAUUCGAAGCAACGCGAAGAACCUUACCAGGUCUUGACAUCCUUUGACCACUCUAGAGAUAGAGCUUCCCCUUCGGGGGCAAAGUGACAGGUGGUGCAUGGUUGUCGUCAGCUCGUGUCGUGAGAUGUUGGGUUAAGUCCCGCAACGAGCGCAACCCUUAUUGUUAGUUGCCAC